AAAUGUGAGGGCAAUCUCUCUGUGAUCUACCACCCCGUUGAUCUCCAGGGUUGAUUCAGCUGAUCUGGCUGGCUAAGUGUCCCCUUCCUCCGUCAAAGCUCUAUGUGAGUCCCUCCUGAAGCUGCAUACUCUGUUGGAGAAGUCCCCGAGUAGAGACUGUCUGGUCUUUCUUUGGUUGAGGGUUUAGGAGUAGUUGCGCUUCCCUGCUAGAACCUCCAGGAAAGCUCCCCAGGCCCAUUUUUAGGAGAAGGUAGGAUGUAAGCUCCCAAGACUCCAGACACAUCCAAAUGAGGUACUACAGGUGGCAGUCUGUCUUU
rnacentral:snRNA from 1 species